GAUGAAGAACGUAGUGAAAUGCGAUAAGUAAUGCGAAUUGCAGAAUUCAGUGAAUCAUCGAAUCUUUGAACGCACAUUGCGCCCGCCAGUAUUCUGGCGGGCAUGCCUGUCCGAGCGUCAUUUCAACCCUCAAGCCCCCGGGCUUGGUGUUGGAGAUCGGCGAGCCCCCCGGGGCGCGCCGUCUCCCAAAUAUAGUGGCGGUCCCGCUGUAGCUUCCUCUGCGUAGUAGCACACCUCGCACUGGGAAACAGCGUGGCCACGCCGUAAAACCCCCCACUUCUGAAAGGUUGACCUCGGAUCAGGUAGGAAUACCCGCUGAACUUAAGCAUAUCAAUAAGCGGAGGA
rnacentral:misc_RNA from 1 species